AGAGUUUGAUCCUGGCUCAGGACGAACGCUGGCGGCGUGCCUAAUACAUGCAAGUCGUGCGAGGAUUUUCGGAUCCUAGCGGCGAACGGGUGAGUAACACGUGGGUAACCUACCCUUAAGACUGGGAUAACAUCGGGAAACCGAUGCUAAUACCAGAUAAUCCAAAUCACUGCAUGGUGAUAUGGUAAAAGGUUUUCUACUUAAGGAUGGGCCCGCGGCGCAUUAGCUAGUUGGUAGGGUAAUGGCCUACCAAGGUGACGAUGCGUAGCCGACCUGAGAGGGUGAUCGGCCACACUGGGACUGAGACACGGCCCAGACUCCUACGGGAGGCAGCAGUAGGGAAUUUUCCGCAAUGGGCGAAAGCCUGACGGAGCAACGCCGCGUGAGUGAGGACGGCCUUCGGGUUGUAAAACUCUGUUCUGGAGGAAGAAGUUCUGACGGUACUCCAGGAGAAAGCCCCGGCUAACUACGUGCCAGCAGCCGCGGUAAUACGUAGGGGGCAAGCGUUGUCCGGAAUUAUUGGGCGUAAAGCGCGCGUAGGCGGUGCUUUAAGUUGGGGGUUAAAGGCAGUGGCUCAACCACUGUACGCCUCCAAAACUGGAGCGCUUGAGUGCAGGAGAGGAGAGUGGAAUUCCCGGUGUAGCGGUGGAAUGCGUAGAUAUCGGGAGGAACACCUGUGGCGAAGGCGACUCUCUGGCCUGCAACUGACGCUGAGGCGCGAAAGCGUGGGGAGCAAACAGGAUUAGAUACCCUAGUAGUCC
rnacentral:rRNA from 1 species